CAGCAGCCGCGGUAAUACGAAGGGGGCUAGCGUUGUUCGGAAUUACUGGGCGUAAAGCGCACGUAGGCGGACUUUUAAGUCAGGGGUGAAAUCCCGGGGCUCAACCUCGGAACUGCCUUUGAUACUGGAAGUCUUGAGUAUGGAAGAGGUAAGUGGAAUUGCGAGUGUAGAGGUGAAAUUCGUAGAUAUUCGCAGGAACACCAGUGGCGAAGGCGGCUUACUGGUCCAUUACUGACGCUGAGGUGCGAAAGCGUGGGGAGCAAACAGGAUUAGAUACCCGCGUAGUCCCUGUCUCUUAUAC
rnacentral:rRNA from 1 species